rnacentral:rRNA from 1 species
GACGAACGCUGGCGGCGUGCUUAACACAUGCAAGUCGUACGGUAAGGCCCUUUCGGGGGUACACGAGUGGCGAACGGGUGAGUAACACGUGAGUAACCUGCCCACAACUUUGGGAUAACGCUAGGAAACUGGUGCUAAUACUGGAUAUGUGCUCCUGCUGCAUGGUGGGGGUUGGAAAGCUCCGGCGGUUGUGGAUGGACUCGCGGCCUAUCAGCUUGUUGGUGGGGUAGUGGCCUACCAAGGCGGCGACGGGUAGCCGGCCUGAGAGGGUGACCGGCCACAUUGGUACUGAGAUACGGCUCAGACUCCUACGGGAGGCAGCAGUGGGGAAUAUUGCACAAUGGGCGCAAGCCUGAUGCAGCAACGCCGCGUGCGGGAUGACGGCCUUCGGGUUGUAAACCGCUUUCAGCAGGGACGAAGCUUUUUGUGACGGUACCUGCAGAAGAAGCACCGGCUAACUACGUG